rnacentral:rRNA from 1 species
AUUGAACGCUGGCGGCAUGCCUUACACAUGCAAGUCGAACGGUAACAGGUCUUCGGAUGCUGACGAGUGGCGAACGGGUGAGUAAUACAUCGGAACGUGCCUAGUAGUGGGGGAUAACUACUCGAAAGAGUGGCUAAUACCGCAUGAGAUCUACGGAUGAAAGCAGGGGAUCGCAAGACCUUGUGCUACUAGAGCGGCCGAUGGCAGAUUAGGUAGUUGGUGGGAUAAAAGCUUACCAAGCCGACGAUCUGUAGCUGGUCUGAGAGGACGAUCAGCCAAACUGGGACUGAGACACGGCCCAGACUACUACGGGAGGCAGCAGUGGGGAAUUUUGGACAAUGGGCGAAAGCCUGAUCCAGCAAUGCCGCGUGUGUGAUGAAGGCCUUCGGGUUGUAAACUGCUUUUGUACGGAACGAAAAGCCCUGGGUUAAUACCCUGGGGUCAUGACGGUACCGUAAGAAUAAGCACCGGCUAACUACGUGCCAGCAGCCGCAGUAACAC